rnacentral:lncRNA from 1 species
UUGGUUUUAGAGAACAGGAAGAAGAGCAGUGAUGGAAAUUGCAAACAGGCAGAUUUAAGCUGGUUGUCAGGGGAAAAAACUUCCUAUCAAAGAGAGGGUCCGAGACUCCAAGAGAGGACGAGCCAACCUCUACAAAGAGAGAGAAUCAGUUAAGGAGGGAUCAGUUGAAGGUAAGGGAUCAAAUGCUAUCUCAGGCAUGGGGUGACCCUGGACAAGUCACUUAAUCUCCCUGACUAUCAGUUCCUUUUAUAUAAAAUGGGAAUCAUAAAACCAGCUCCCAGAGUUGAUCUGAAGAUCAGUCAGUCAUUCAAGACUUUUGUUAAACAUUUAUGAUGUGCCGGGCACUGAGCUAAGAGCUAGGUCAAAUUUUGUUGUGGU